AGCGAACGCUGGCGGCAGGCUUAACACAUGCAAGUCGAGCGGGCACUUCGGUGUCAGCGGCAGACGGGUGAGUAACACGUGGGAACGUACCCUUUGGUUCGGAAUAACGCUGGGAAACUAGCGCUAAUACCGGAUACGCCCUUUUGGGGAAAGGCUUGCUGCCGAAGGAUCGGCCCGCGUCUGAUUAGCUAGUUGGUGGGGUAAUGGCCUACCAAGGCGACGAUCAGUAGCUGGUCUGAGAGGAUGAUCAGCCACACUGGGACUGAGACACGGCCCAGACUCCUACGAGAGGCAGCAGUGGGGAAUAUUGGACAAUGGGCGCAAGCCUGAUCCAGCCAUGCCGCGUGAGUGAUGAAGGCCUUAGGGUUGUAAAGCUCUUUUGUCCGGGACGAUAAUGACGUUACCGGAAGAAUAAGCCCCGGCUAACUUCGUG
rnacentral:rRNA from 1 species